AGAGUUUGAUCCUGGCUCAGAAUCAACGCUGGCGGCGUGCCUAACACAUGCAAGUCGCACGAGAAAGGGUAGCAAUACCUGAGUACAGUGGCGCACGGGUGAGUAACACGUGACUUAUCUACCUCCGAGUGGGGAAUAACCUAGAGAAAUCUGGGCUAAUACCGCAUAACACUUACGAGUCAAAGCAGCAAUGCGCUUGGAGAGGAGGUCGCGGCCGAUUAGCUAGUUGGCGGGGUAAUGGCCCACCAAGGCGAUGAUCGGUAUCCGGCCUGAGAGGGCGCACGGACACACUGGAACUGAAACACGGUCCAGACUCCUACGGGAGGCAGCAGUGGGGAAUUUUGCGCAAUGGGGGAAACCCUGACGCAGCAACGCCGCGUGGAGGAUGAAAUAUCUUGGUAUGUAAACUCCUUUCGAUGGGGAAGAUUAUGACGGUACCCAUAGAAGAAGCCCCGGCUAACUUCGUGCCAGCAGCCGCGGUAAUACGAGGGGGGCAAGCGUUGUUCGGAUUUAUUGGGCGUAAAGGGUGCGUAGGCGGUUUGGCAAGUCUUAUGUGAAAUCUUCGGGCUCAACCCGAAGCCUGCAUAAGAAACUGCCGGGCUUGAGUAUGGGAGAGGUGAGUGGAAUUUCCGGUGUAGCGGUGAAAUGCGUAGAUAUCGGAAGGAACACCUGUGGCGAAAGCGGCUCACUGGACCAUAACUGACGCUGAUGCACGAAAGCUAGGGGAGCAAACAGGAUUAGAUACCCUGGUAGUCCUAGCCCUAAACGAUGAUUGCUUGGUGUGGCAGGUACCCAAUCCUGCCGUGCCGAAGCUAACGCGAUAAGCAAUCCGCCUGGGGAGUACGGUCGCAAGGCUGAAACUCAAAGGAAUUGACGG
rnacentral:rRNA from 1 species